rnacentral:misc_RNA from 1 species
CCAAACUUGGUCAUUUAGAGGAAGUAAAAGUCGUAACAAGGUUUCCGUAGGUGAACCUGCGGAAGGAUCAUUACUGAAUAAAAUCUGGUUCGGUUGGGUUGUCGCUGGCCUCCUGGAGGCAUGUGCACACCCUACCACCACCUCAUUCAUCUAUCUAUACUUACCUGUGCACCUUCUUGUAGGAUCAGGAUUUGUAUCACUGUUUCUUCAAACCUCCCUCUAUUUGGAGGGAGGGGGGGGGAAAAAAAAAAAGUGUUUUGGAAUCUUUGCUGUGUUAUGCGUCCACGUCCGCGUGCAUGUUGACAGCUUUUCCUGGAUGCAUAAUUCCUGGCCCUAUGCGCUUUUUUAUAUAUGCACUUUGAACGCAUGUGAAUUAUAUUGUAAUAUGUAUUUGUAUACAACUUUCAACAACGGAUCUCUUGGCUCUCGCAUCGAUGAAGAACGCAGC